rnacentral:misc_RNA from 1 species
AACUGAUACUACCUGCGGGAACCUGCGGAGGGAUCAUUAUAGAGUUUUCUAACUCCCAAACCCAUGUGAACUUACCUUUGUUGCCUCGGCGGAGCCUACCCGGUACCUACCCUGUAGCGCCCCGCCGGUGGACUUCUAAACUAUUGUUAUUUUAAUGAUAUCUGAGAGUCUUAUUUUAAUAAGUCAAAACUUUCAGCAAUGGAUCUCU